rnacentral:rRNA from 1 species
GAACGUGAAAGGGAGCAAUCCUGAGUAAAGUGGCGUACGGGUGAGUAACGCGUAGGUAAUCUACCCCAGAGUCUGGAAUAACCUGCCGAAAGGCGGGCUAAUACUGGAUAGAGCGAUGGAACUCGUAAAGAGUUUUUCGGGAAAGGGAGGACGUAAGUCCCUUCGCUUUGGGAUGAGCCUGCGUCUCAUUAGCUAGUUGGUAAGGUAAUGGCUUACCAAGGCUUUGAUGGGCAGCUGGUCUGAGAGGAUGAUCAGCCACACUGGAACUGAAACACGGUCCAGACUCCUACGGGAGGCAGCAGUGGGGAAUCUUGCGCAAUGGACGAAAGUCUGACGCAGCCACGCCGCGUGAGUGAAGAAGGCCUUCGGGUUGUAAAGCUCUGUCGAGCGGGACGAAAAUUCUUAGAGUUAACAGCUCUAGGAACUGACGGUACCGCUAAAGGAAGCACCGGCUAACUUCGUGCCAGCAGCCGCGGUAAU